rnacentral:rRNA from 1 species
GACGAACGCUGGCGGCGUGCUUAACACAUGCAAGUCGAACGGAAAGGCCUCUUUCGGGGGGUACUCGAGUGGCGAACGGGUGAGUAACACGUGAGUAACCUGCCCUUGACUUUGGGAUAACUUCAGGAAACUGGGGCUAAUACCGGAUAGGAGCUCCUGCUGCAUGGUGGGGGUUGGAAAGUUUCGGCGGUUGGGGAUGGACUCGCGGCUUAUCAGCUUGUUGGUGGGGUAGUGCCUUACCAAGGCUUUGACGGGUAGCCGGCCUGAGAGGGUGACCGGCCACAUUGGGACUGAGAUACGGCACAGACUCCUACGGGAGGCAGCAGUGGGGAAUAUUGCACAAUGGGUGGAAGCCUGAUGCAGCAACGCCGUGUGCGGGAUGACGGACUUCGGGUUGUAAACCGCUUUCGCUCAUGACGAAGCUUUGUGUGACGGUAGUGGGUAAAGAAGCACCGGCUAACUACGUA